rnacentral:tRNA from 1 species
UCCCUGGUGGCUCAGAUGGUAAAGUAUCUGCAUGCAAUGCAGGAGACCUGGGUUCGAUCCCUGGGUUGGGAA